AGGGGCCCAGUGUUACACAGGGUCACGGCUGGCAAGGAAGAUCGGGAGGCCACUUCCCCCCAAAAAUUGGGGUGGCAUACGGGGAGGUUGGCGGAGCUAACUCUCCAUGCUCACGGUAGGGAGCGUGGUACUGGUCAGGCACCAUGUUAUGCGGUGAAGCGCACAUUGUCUCCAGUGCGCGUUCACAGCUCUGUGCGCUAUAUUCCAGCUCCUCGCAUUGGCCGGUCUAGAGUGGGCAUCCAGCCAGGAUGGAUUGUGCCACCUCAGCGCUCAUGGCUGAAUCUCUUCGGCCCAGGAUAUCCUGCGCCGGCUCUGCACACUGUGUCUCCAGUGCAUCUGCACAGCCCAGUGCAUCCUGUGCUAGCGCCCCGCAUUUGCCGGGCGAAGAUAACCAUCCAGCCAGGACGGGUUGUGCCAGCUCUACGCUUGAGACCUCCAGUGCGCCUCCAUGGCCCAGUGUAUCUGGUGCCUGCUCCACGCACCAGGCUUCCAGUGCAUCUCCCCAGUACGGUGAGACCUGAUCCGGUUCCACAUACCAGGCCUCCAGUAUGUCUCCCCAGCCUGGUAAGCCCUGUGGCAGCUCCACGCACCAGGCUUCCAGUACGUCUCCUCAGUCCGGUGAGACCCGUUCUGGCUCCACGUAAGAAGCCUCCAGUGAUGAUCCAUGGCACAAAGCCUGUAGUGAUGAUCCAUGGCACGAAGCCUCCAGUGAUAAUCCAUGGCCCGAAGCCUCCAGUGAUGAUCCAUGGCCCGGAGCCUCCAGUGACGAUCCAUGGCACGGAGCCUGUAGGACGAUCCAUGGCACGGAGCCUGCAGCGACGGUCCCCGGUCCGGGGCCUGCAGCGACGGUCCCCAGUCGGGGGCCUGCAGCGACGGUCCCCAGUCGGGGGCCUGCAGCGAGGGUCCCCAGUCGGGGGGCCUGCAGCGAGGGUCCCCAGUCGGGGGGCCUGCAGCGAGGGUCCCCAGUCGGGGGGCCUGCAGCGAGGGUCCCCAGUCGGGGGGCCUGCAGCGAGGGUCCCCAGUCCGGGGGGCCUGCAGCGAGGGUCCCCAGUCCGGGGGGCCUGCAGCGAGGGUCCCCAGUCCGGGGGGCCUGCAGCGAGGGUCCCCAGUCCGGGGGGCCUGCAGCGAGGGUCCCCAGUCCGGGGGGCCUGCAGCGAGGGUCCCCGCACCAGAGGCGCCACCAAAGUGGGGGGAGCCAGAGGUGGAGCGGGGUCUGUGUCCCGCACCGGAGCCGCCACCAAGAUAGAUGCCCACCCGGACCCUCCCCUAUAG
rnacentral:lncRNA from 1 species